CCAGGCAACGAUACGUAGCCGACCUGAGAGGGUGAUCGGCCACACUGGAACUGAGACACGGUCCAGACUCCUACGGGAGGCAGCAGUAGGGAAUCUUCCGCAAUGGACGAAAGUCUGACGGAGCAACGCCGCGUGAGUGAUGAAGGUUUUCGGAUCGUAAAACUCUGUUAUUAGGGAAGAACAAAUGUGUAAGUAACUGUGCACAUCUUGACGGUACCUAAUCAGAAAGCCACGGCUAACUACGUGCCAGCAGCCGCGGUAAUACAAAAU
rnacentral:rRNA from 1 species